CCCGGGCCCCGGCCAGCCGUCCAGGACGCCACCACCCUAAACCAAGCACGAAAAAGAUGUACCACCCACCAUCCUCAGGCUGCUGUUUACAUGUCCCUGCUGCAGUGCUCCCUGCGCACGCCCGCCUCGUGCGGCGGCGCGGCUACGGCUUGUGCAGCACCCUGCCGGCGACGACGGCGGCCUCUAUGACGACGGAGAUCACGUCGAUGACCUCGUCGAUCAUGCACUUGUUCCCGUCGAACGUGGACGUGCCCUCCCGCAGCCUCGCCAGGCAUUCCAGCAGCGCCUCGUUGCAAGACGUGCUCAGGUAGUCCUCUGCACAUACAUGGUAUACAUACAACACGCGCGCAUGCAGCCGUCAGACCAGCCCACGUUCGUGCUAGCAAUUGAAGACGAUCGAUAGGUAACGUACUCUUUGCCUGGACGCAGUUGUCGUGGUGCAUGCAGCAGGCGUCCAGCGCGUCGCACGGCUGCUCGCCGGGGCAGCCGCUGUACAGGAUGCCGCAGUACUUGCCGUACCGCAGGAACGGCGCCGCUGUCGUCGUAUGAAUGCCGGUGAGCGGCAGAAGAUCAUGUCGGGGGGCGCUUAUUAAGUGAGCUACCGAUGCAAUUACGAGGAAAUAAACC
rnacentral:lncRNA from 1 species